AGUGAACGCUGGCGGUAGGCCUAACACAUGCAAGUCGAACGGCAGCACAGUAAGAGCUUGCUCUUACGGGUGGCGAGUGGCGGACGGGUGAGGAAUACAUCGGAAUCUACUUUUUCGUGGGGGAUAACGUAGGGAAACUUACGCUAAUACCGCAUACGACCUACGGGUGAAAGCGGGGGAUCUUCGGACCUUGCGCGAUUGAAUGAGCCGAUGUCGGAUUAGCUAGUUGGCGGGGUAAAGGCCCACCAAGGCGACGAUCCGUAGCUGGUCUGAGAGGAUGAUCAGCCACACUGGAACUGAGACACGGUCCAGACUCCUACGGGAGGCAGCAGUGGGGAAUAUUGGACAAUGGGCGCAAGCCUGAUCCAGCCAUACCGCGUGGGUGAAGAAGGCCUUCGGGUUGUAAAGCCCUUUUGUUGGGAAAGAAAAGCAGCAGGUUAAUACCACGCUGUUCUGACGGUACCCAAAGAAUAAGCACCGGCUAACUUCGUG
rnacentral:rRNA from 1 species